ACUGCGAAUGGCUCAUUAAAUCAGUUACGGUUUAUUUGAUGACUUGUGACACGGAUAACUGGGGAAAUUCUUCAGCCAAUACGUGCUUCUAAGCCGACUUUGUGGAAGGUGAGUAUUUGCUCGAUUCUGAACCAACCCAGAUCUUCUGGGCUUUAAGUUGAGCGGAGAGUAAAUCUGUCCAAUCGCAUUGCACCGCGAUGCGAUGCAUCAUUCAAGUUUCUGACCUAUCAGCUUCCGAUUGUAGGGUAUUGGCUUACCAUGGCGAUGACGGGUAACAGCGAAUUUGGGUUCAGUUCUGGAGAGGGAGCCUGAGAAACGGCUACCACAUCUAAGGAAGGCAGCAGGCGCGUAACUUACCCAAUUCUGACACGGAGAGGUAGUGACAAGAAAUAACGAUACAGGGCAUUCACGUCUUGUACUUGGGCUGAGUAGAAUGUAAACGACUCUAUGAGUAUCAAUUGGAGGGCAAGUCUGG
rnacentral:rRNA from 1 species